AACGAACGCUGGCGGCAGGCUUAACACAUGCAAGUCGAACGCCCCGCAAGGGGAGUGGCAGACGGGUGAGUAACACGUGGGAACGUGCCCUAAGGUUUGGAAUAUUCUCGGGAAACUGGGAGCAAUACCAAAUGUGACCGCAAGGUGAAAGAUUUAUCGCCUUAGGAUCGGCCCGCGUCAGAUUAGGUAGUUGGUGGGGUAAUGGCCUACCAAGCCGACGAUCUGUAGCUGGUCUGAGAGGACGACCAGCCACACUGGGACUGAGACACGGCCCAGACUCCUACGGGAGGCAGCAGUGGGGAAUCUUGGACAAUGGGCGCAAGCCUGAUCCAGCCAUGCCGCGUGAGUGAUGAAGGCCCUAGGGUUGUAAAACUCUUUCGUGGGGGACGAUAAUGACGGUACCCCAAGAAGAAGCUCCGGCUAACUUCGUGCCAGCAGCCGCGGUAAAGUAUCG
rnacentral:rRNA from 1 species